rnacentral:rRNA from 1 species
CUACGGAGGGUGCGAGCGUUAAUCGGAAUUACUGGGCGUAAAGCGUACGUAGGCGGUUGGUUAAGUUAGAUGUGAAAGCCCCGGGCUUAACCUGGGAACUGCAUUUAAAACUGGCGAACUAGAGUUGAGUAGAGGGGAGUGGAAUUUCAGGUGUAGCGGUGAAAUGCGUAGAGAUCUGAAGGAACACCAGUGGCGAAGGCGACUCCCUGGACUCGAACUGACGCUGAGGUACGAAAGCGUGGGUAGCAAACGGGAUUAGAAACCCGAGUAGUCC